GACAGAGGUGCCGAGCGUUAGGCGGAAUCACUGGGCUUAAAGCGUGUGUAGGCGGAUCUGUAAGUACCUUGUGAAAUCCCACGGCUCAACCGUGGAACUGCUUGGUAUACUGCGGGUCUUGAGCUAUCUAGGGGCAACUGGAACAAACGGUGGAGCGGUGAAAUGCGUAGAUAUCGUUUGGAACGCCAAUGGUGAAAACAGGUUGCUGGGGAUAUGCUGACGCUGAGACACGAAAGCCAGGGGAGCAAACGGG
rnacentral:rRNA from 1 species